CCCAGUCAACUCUCAGCCUCUCAGUGUCCAUCCAGCCGUCAAAGGGGAAGGACGCGCCGCCCCUUCCCUCCGUGCACUUGUGGAGAGGGCUAGAGAGAUACAGUGUUUCCUUGGUGUUUCUCUCCUCCACCGCCUUCAGGAGGAGGAAACAGACGGUGCAGGGGCGGGAAGUGCCGUGCGUGUGGAGGAGAAGGAGGAAGAAGUGCAACAGAAGGAGGGAAAAUAGAGAAAAAGAAUAAAAAAAAAGAAAAAUAGGAAAGAAAAAUAUUAGAAAAAUCGUAUUAAUUGAAUUUCCAUCUUAUAUUGACUUGUUUCCGUGUGUGUGCGUGCGUGUGUGCGUGCGUGGUGGUGGAAGCCGGAUCACCUCCACCUGACCACACCACUCCACUCACCACCAAGCCUACACCCAUGUGAACCUGUGUGGACCUGUGUGUGCGUGUGUGCGUGCAUGUCUGGGUGGUGUGGAGGCACGUGGAUGGUCUGUGCAGGUGUGGCCUUACCUGUCCACACACCUGUUGAGCCACGACAGGUGUGUGGGUGUUGCUUGUUGAAAGACGACUUGUACACAUGUGUCAGGUGAACCAGCCUUGCAGAACACACCUGUAGGAUCAUCAAAGCAGGUGUGACAGGUGUGUGGUCACUACCUGUGCACACACACCUGUAGAUUCGUCAGUAUAUACAGGUGACAGGUGUGACUUGCCUCUAUACACCUGCAGGAUCAAGAUAACAGGUGUGACAGGUGUGCAAACCUUUACCUGUACAAGACACACCUGUAGAAUCAAGGAAACAGGUGUGACUUGCCUCUAUACACCUGCAGAAUCAAGAUAACAGGUGUGACUUGCCUCUAUACACCUGCAGAAUCAAGGAAACAGGUGUGACUUGCCUCUAUACACCUGCAGAAUCAAGGAAACAGGUGUGACUUGCCUCUAUACACCUGCAGAAUCAAGAUAACAGGUGUGCAAGCCUUUACUUAUACGAGACACACCUGUAGAGUCAAGGGAACAGGUGUGACAGGUGUGCAAGUCUCUACCUGAGCAAAACACAGAUUAAUUAAGCUUACAAAUCCAAAACAAGCCAGAAAAACACGAAUAUUCACCUGUAAUUAACAAAAAAACAAGACUUACCUGUAAUUAAUGAAGAAAAACACGAAUAUUCACCUGUAAUUAAUGAAGAAAAACCCAAACCAACCCGGAAAAACAAUAUUCACAUUAAUUAGUCGAAAAACCCAGAAAAUCACGAAUAUUCACCUGUAAUUAAGCCAGGAAACCCAAUUUUUUACCUUACAUCACCAGAAAAACACCAAAUUUUCACCAAUAAUCAAGAAAAACACCCAAAAACCCAAAUUUUCACCUGUAACCAAGCCAGAAAACCCAAAAAACCCAGAAAAUCACGAAUAUUCACCUGUAAUUAAGCCAGGAAACACAAUUUUUUACCUUACAUCACCAGAAAAAACACCAAAUUUCCACCAAUAAUCAAGAAAAACACCCCAAAAAUCACCAAAAACCCAAAUCAAGCCAGAAA